rnacentral:rRNA from 1 species
UCCGUAUAACAAUACUCCGAGAACUGAAAGGCUUUUUGAAGUCUUCGGAUGGAUAGAAGAACCCCUGAUGCCAUCGAGCCAAGAAAAGUUUCUAAGUUUAGCUAAUGUUGCCCGUACCGUAAACCGACACAGGUGGGUGGGAUGAGUAUUCUAAGGCGCGUGGAAGAACUCUCUUUAAGGAACUCUGCAAAAUAGCACCGUAUCUUCGGUAUAAGGUGUGGUUCGCUUCGUAUUAGGAUUUACUCCGAAAGCGAAGAAACUUACAACAAAGAGUCCCUCCCGACUGUUUACCAAAAACACAGCACUCUGCUAACUCGUAAGAGGAUGUAUAGGGUGUGACGCCUGCCCGGUGCUCGAAGGUUAAUUGAUGGGGUUAGCAUUAGCGAAGCUCUUGAUCGAAGCCCGAGUAAACGGCGGCCGUAACUAUAACGGUCCUAAGGUAGCGAAAUUCCUUGUCGGUUAAAUACCGACCUGCAUGAAUGGCGUAACGAGAUGGGAGCUGUCUCAAAGAGGGAUCCAGUGAAAUUGUAGUGGAGGUGAAAAUUCCUCCUACCCGCGGCAAGACGGAGAGACCCCGUGGACCUUUACUACAGCUUGACACUGCUAUUUGGAUAAGAAUGUGCAGGAUAGGUGGGAGGCUUUGAGUAUAUGACGCCAGUUGUAUAUGAGCCAUUGUUGAGAUACCACUCUUUCUUAUUUGGGUAGCUAACCAGCUUGAGUUAUCCUCAAGUGGGACAAUGUCUGGUGGGUAGUUUGACUGGGGCGGUCGCCUCCCAAAUAAUAACGGAGGCUUACAAAGGUUGGCUCAGAACGGUUGGAAAUCGUUCGUAGAGUAUAAAGGUAUAAGCCAGCUUAACUGCAAGACAUACAAGUCAAGCAGAGACGAAAGUCGGUCUUAGUGAUCCGGUGGUUCUGUGUGGAAGGGCCAUCGCUCAAAGGAUAAAAGGUACCCCGGGGAUAACAGGCUGAUCUCCCCCAAGAGCUCACAUCGACGGGGAGGUUUGGCACCUCGAUGUCGGCUCAUCGCAUCCUGGGGCUGGAGCAGGUCCCAAGGGUAUGGCUGUUCGCCAUUUAAAGCGGUACGCGAGCUGGGUUCAGAACGUCGUGAGACAGUUCGGUCCCUAUCUGCCGUGGGCGUAAGAAGAUUGAAGAGAUUUGACCCUAGUACGAGAGGACCGGGUUGAACAAACCACUGGUGUAGCUGUUGUUCUGCCAAGAGCAUCGCAGCGUAGCUAAGUUUGGAAAGGAUAAACGCUGAAAGCAUCUAAGCGUGAAGCCAACUCUAAGAUGAAUCUUCUCUAAGCUCUCUAGAAGACUACUAGUUUGAUAGGCUGGGUGUGUAAUGGAUGAAAGUCCUUUAGCUGACCAGUACUAAUAGAGCGUUUGGCUUAUCUUUAAUAAAGCAU